GAUGAAGAACGUAGCGAAAUGCGAUAAGUAAUGUGAAUUGCAGAAUUCAGUGAAUCAUCGAAUCUUUGAACGCACCUUGCGCCCUUUGGCUGUUCCGAAGGGCAUGCCUGUUUGAGUAUCAUGAACACCUCAACCCUCAUGGUUUGCCAUGAUGGGCUUGGACUUUGGGGGUCUUGCUGGAUUGUAGUCAGCUCCCCUUAAAUGAAUCAGCUUGCCAGUGUUUGGUGGCAUCACAGGUGUGAUAAAUAUCUACGCUUGUGGUUUUACAUCAGAUAACCUUCAGUGAUGGAGGUUCACUGGAGCUCAUAAAGGUGUCUCUCCUCUGUGAGGACAGCUCUUUGAAUGUUUGAUCUCAAAUCAGGCAGGACUACCCGCUGAACUUAAGCAUAUCAAUAAGCGGAGGA
rnacentral:misc_RNA from 1 species